GGCGGUUCUCAGGUGACGCACCCUGGAAUCGGGCUCCCUCCUCGCUGGUUCUGGGUGUAUCACCCGAGAAUCGCA
rfam:Myotis lucifugus cont2.70274, whole genome shotgun sequence.